UACGAAGGGGGCUAGCGUUGCUCGGAAUCACUGGGCGUAAAGGGCGCGUAGGCGGGAUGGCAAGUCAGUCGUGAAAUCUCUCGGCUCAACCGAGAAACGUCGGCUGAUACUGCCGUUCUUGAGGGAUGCAGAGGAGACUGGAAUUCCCGGUGUAGCGGUGAAAUGUGUAGAGAUCGGGAGGAACACCGGUGGCGAAGGCGGGUCUCUGGGCAUUUCCUGACGCUGAGGCGCGAAAGCCAGGGGAGCGAACGGG
rnacentral:rRNA from 1 species